GAGCACCAGCAUCCACAGCUGCUUGAGGAGGAAACAUCAACAGAAAGCAAAACAAUUAAUCAUCCACUGAUGGAGGAGGAGGAUGAUGAAGAUGGAGGACAGGAGCACCAGUAUCCACAGCAUCCUGAGGAAACAUCAACAGGGGACAGAAAGACUUCUAUUCACCAAAACAAUGAGUGCCAGCAUCCACUGAUGGAGGAGGAGGAUGAAGAAGAUGGAGGACAUUAGCACCAGCAUCCACAGCUGCCUGAGGAGGAAACAUCAACAGAAAGCAAAACAAUCAAAACAAUUAAUGUAAGUAAAGCCUCUCAUUAGCACAGAAAGACACUGAACUAAUGUUUAAUGUAAAAAUAGAGGUGACUUUAUACUAAUGCCUGUAAAAUGUUGGACUGGAACAACGGCAUCUACUGAUGGAGGAGGAGGAUGAAGAUGGAGGACAGGAGCACCAGUAUCCACAGCAUCCUGAGGAGGAAACAUCAACAGAGGACAGAGACUUCUAUUCACCAAAACAAUACAGGAGCACCAGCAUCCACAGCAUCCUGAGGAGGAAACAUUACCAGAGGACAGAAAGACUUCUAUUCACCAAAACAAUCAAUAGUUUUGCUUCAGAGGAGAAUCCGACAGUUCCAGAUGUUCGUCACCAGCACUGCAGUGUUUACACAGACUGCUUUGGUUUCAACUUUCUACAAAAAACUGUUGAAUUUUCAACUCACUUUCCAUCUGAAUCCAAGCUCAUCUUCAUCACUGGGAUGUUUCUUCAUCAGUUCUUCGUACAGACUGACACAGCUCACACAUGGAGAAGAUGAUUUAUGGAAUAUGACAUUUAGAUUUUUCCUUUUCUCAACAGUAUGAUGCAUACAUCCCAACCCAAAUUUCAUGCAUUUUUUUGGCUUAACUUGAGCCAAUUUCCAUCAAUAAAUUGCUAAUGUAUUAUUAUUAUUGACUAUUA
rnacentral:lncRNA from 1 species